rnacentral:lncRNA from 1 species
AGAACUCAUUUAAAUAGGACAUUCGACACAUUAUAACAGCCUUUCAAUCAUUCAAUUCUUCGAUAGUAGUCUCGACCGUCGUAUGGAAGUCAUAGAACAGCUUAUCCAAAUAAAUUAUUCAUGUUUAGCACCUUUACAUAAACUUUUGAUCUAUUACUGUAGAUUUUUUACUCGUUAAAAAGAAAACUUACUUAAAUAGCAUCAUUUAGAAAUUCCACUGGCAUUUCUUCCAUUCAAGCUUCGGAAGUUGUAUGUUUGACCAUAUAUGGAUCGCAAAUAACAACUUAUAACUAGUAAUCAUUUAAUUCCAUCACCAAUUCUUUCCCUUUUGAUCCAUCACUAUAGAUUUUCAUUUCGUUGAAAACUGAAAGCUUAUUAAUGAAGCAUCAUCGACAUAUUCCGAAAUCAUUUCCACCAUUUCAUGCUUCGAGGGUAGUCUGUGCAUCUAUAUGCACCUCAGAUAGCAACUUACCUAUAGAAAUUGGACAAUUUCGUACAUUUAUUAACCGUUUUUAUCCAUCAAGGUAGAUUUUCUAUUUUUCCAAAACUGAAAACAUGUUUAAAUAGCAUUACCAAUAAGUGAUAGAAGCCUUGCUUCGUUUCUUGUUUCGAAGUUGUCUGUGCCGCCAUUUGAAAAUCCUACAACAACUUAUAUAUGUAGGAGUCACAUAAUUUUUAGUAGUUUUACCUAACCUGUUGAUUUAUUACUUUACAUUUUCCCCUCCUUCGAAUCAUAGAACUCAUUUAAAUAGGACAUUCGACACAUUAUAACAGCCUUUCAAUCAUUCAAUUAUUCGAUAGUAGUCUCGACCUUCGUAUGGAAGUCAUAGAACAGGUUAUCCAAAUAAAUUAUUCAUGAUUAGCACCUUUACAUAAACUUUUGAUCCGUUACCAUAGAUUUUUUAUUCGCUAAAAAGAAAACUUACUUAAAUAGCAUCAUUUAG